rnacentral:lncRNA from 1 species
CGAGGUUCCCUCCAGAUAGCGGUGAAGGGCGGCUUCCUAACUUUGUUUCCCAAGUCCCCUAACUUCGGAAUGCUUCUGCAUUGGUUCUUGCUCAGUGUCAUACCAGCGACUCCAAGAGUCAUGUCACCCACUUAGCAGGAGUACUUCUACUGAAAUGCCUUCGAAUUUCUCUUACUGGAUAUAUACCUACCAGCCGCUAGCAUGAAGAUGCCAGGACCGCUGCAAGUUAGCACUGGACAAAGUAGCAUCAACUUCUUCAUUUAGAGUUUCUUCAGUUAAAUUGCUGGGAUUUUCGACAAGGCUUUCCUUAUGUGGAUUAUUGGAGUGUGAUGCCCGAGAAUUCUCUACUUGUAGAAGCACGCCCACGGGACUGCAGAAGCCUUCACACCCACCCAGCACGCUCAGAAAGUACUGUCUUCAACCUUACCAAUGUCAGUGGCGGCGACGGUGGCGUCACCAUCACCAUCAGAGAAAAAGAAAUAUGCCUUUAUGUCAUGAUGGGAAUGAGUGAUGGCCAUCCAGUGACCAGCUGGAUCUGACUGCCUUACAAGACGCAUGUGUAUGAUUAAGAGAGAGACAUUCGUGACUCCCAGAUGUACCUCCUUCCUGUCCCACAGUGUUCCUGAAGGGAGUGAGUUAUGGGGUAACUUAUAACACAGCAGGCUCUUCCUCAAGAUAGCUCUUGUCAAAACAGGAAGACGAAACUCGGGUUUCCAUGAGGAGACCACAGCUUGGGAUCCUGUCUGGAUGUACAAGCAGAAGCAUCUUCAUACUUUUCCAUUUCUAACCAUCAUGCCUCACCCCACCCUCCCAAGGCGACAUCUGCAGAGAGGUGGAACCAUCUAGGGAGGCCUGCCACUGUUUGCUGAGCUCCGGGUGAGGAUGAAGACACUUUGACAUGGCCAGCUUCAGACUCGGGAUCUGUCGGUGUUAGCAGCCGAAGGAGAAUGAGGAGGAAGAGGAGGAGAAAGAGGAGGAGGAAGUAAGACAGAGGGGGACAAGAGGACCAAGAGGGCACAUGGCUGAGGAGGAGGAGAACAACAACAACAACAACAACAACAACAACAACAAGAAGCUUGGUGUUUUCAGGAUGUGUUCCUGAGUCUCGUGAGUAGCACAUGGCAGUUGUUGUCACCUUGGGCUGAGCCGUGAAGAUUCUCACCCUCCCUUGUUGGGGAUGAACUCCGGGAUUCUAAGGAGAGGUCAGCAGGUGUUUCACAGACUGUUCCUGUUGGAGGAUUUGUCUGAUACUCUUCUCCUGAUUAGUCUGGGCUCUACAUUUCCCCAAGGGUGAAACUUGGAAGCCCUCUCCAGGAUGCAGCAGGUAGCUGAGGAGAAAACGAAGACUGACCAGCCCAGAGCUCAGAGCUUCCUCCCAUGCUCAGGAUUUACCACCAAUGCCAUUACAUCGGCCUCUUCUUGUAUGCCUCUGGAAACCACAUGUGUCCUCUGUUUGUAAUGGUUUGGCUAUGGUUGCUGGCCCCUCUUGGACAUUGUUUUCAGAACUUAAAGAAACAUUGCUUUAAAGAUUUAUUAGAACAUAUUUAAAAUAAAACCAUCUUCUCAUUUAGUAU